UGGGAGUUGAACCAGCAACCCAAGGAUCACAGCCUAAAGUCCUCCGCUCUACCAACUGAACUAUCAAUGGGUGCUGGGGGAACAAAGGCAGAAAACAAAGUGGCUGAGACAACACACUAUGCCAAAAGGACUAUUCAUCCCAAUAGUCAAUCAUAAGCCCAGCCCUUCCUGCAGAAAAAAGCUCAGUAGUUUGUAUCCAACAGGCAUUGCAAGAGAUCCUGAACUGAUAAUCAGGACUUUUAGGCUGGUUGAAAAAAAAAUAACAACUUGUGGUUGGAACAUAAAGGAGAAGAAAAUGUUGUUUGUACAUUUUGAGUGAUGGAGUUGACAGAUGAAGACAAGGUUUGGAGUGGGAGUUGAACCAGCAACCCAAGGAUCACAGCCUAAAGUCCUCCUCUCUACCAACUGAGCUAUCGAAGGGUGCUGGGGGAACAAAGGCAGAAAACAUAGUGGCUGAGACAACACACUAUGCCAAAAGGACUAUUCAUCCCAAUAGUCAAUCAUAAGCCCAGCCCUUCCUGCAGAAAAAAGCUCAGUAGUUUGUACCCAACAGGCAUUGCAAGAGAUACUGAACUGAUAAUCAGGACUUUUAGGCUGGUUGAAAAAAAUAAUAACUUGUGGUUGGAACAUAAAGGAGGAGAAAAUGUUGUUUGUACAUUUUGAGUGAUGGAGUUGACAGAUAAAGACAAGGGUUUGGAGCAGGAGUUGAAGGAGCAACCCAAGGAUCACAGCCUAAAGUCCUCCACUCUACCAACUGAGCUAUCGAAGGGUGCUGGGGGAAUAAAGGCAGAAAACAUAGUGGCUGAGACAACACACUAUGCCAAAAGGACUAUUCAUCCCAAUAGUCAAUCAUAAGCCCAGCCCUUCCUGCAGAAAAAAGCUCAGUAGUUUGUACCCAACAGGCAUUGCCAGAGAUCCUGAACUGAUAAUCAGGACUUUUAGGCUGGUUGAAAUAAAAAUAACAACUUGUGGUUGGAACAUAAAGGAGGAGAAAAUGUUGUUUGUACAUUUUGAGUGAUGGAGUUGACAGAUGAAGACAAGGUUUGGAGUGGGAGUUGAACCAGCAACCCAAGGAUCACAGCCUAAAGUCCUCCGCUCUACCAACUGAGCUAUCGAAGGGUGCUGGGGGAACAAAGGCAGAAAACAUAGUGGCUGAGACAACACACUAUGCUCAAAGGACUAUUCAUCCCAAUAGUCAAUCAUAAGCCCAGCCCUUCCUGCAGAAAAAAAGCUCAGUAGUUUGUACCCAACAGGCAUUGCCAGAGAUCCUGAACUGAUAAUCAGGACUUUUAGGCUGGUUGAAAUAAAAAUAACAACUUGUGGUUGGAACAUAAAGGAGGAGAAAAUGUUGUUUGUACAUUUUGAGUGAUGGAGUUGACAGAUGAAGACAAGGUUUGGAGUGGGAGUUGAACCAGCAACCCAAGGAUCACAGCCUAAAGUCCUCCGCUCUACCAACUGAGCUAUCGAAGGGAGGUGGGGGAACAAAGGCAGAAAACAUAGUGGCUGAGACAACACACUAUGCCAAAAGGACUAUUCAUCCCAAUAGUCAAUCAUAAGCCCAGCCCUUCCUGCAGAAAAAAGCUCAGUAGUUUGUACCCAACAGGCAUUGCCAGAGAUCCUGAACUGAUAAUCAGGACUUUUAGGCUGGUUGAAAAAAAAUAACAACUUGUGGUUGGAACAUAAAGGAGGAGAAAAUGUGUUUUGUACAUUUUGAGUGAUGGAGUUGACAGAUGAAGACAAGAUUUGGAGUGGGAGUUGAACCAGCAACCCAAGGAUCACAGCCUAAAGUCCUCCGCUCUAACAACUGAGCUAUCGAAGGGUGCUGGGGGAACAAAGGCAGAAAACAUAGUGGCUGAGACAACACACUAUGCCAAAAGGACUAUUCAUCCCAAAAGUCAAUCAUAAGCCCAGCCCUUCCUGCAGAAAAAAGCUCAGUAGUUUGUACCAAACAGGCAUUGCCAGAGAUCCUGAACUGAUAAUCAGGACUUUUAGGCUGGUUGAAAAAAAAUAACAACUUGUGGUUGGAACAUAAAGGAGGAGAAAAUGUUGUUUGUACAUUUUGAGUGAUGGAGUUGACAGAUGAAGACAAGGUUUGGAGUGGGAGUUGAACCAGCAACACAAGGAUCACAGCCUAAAGUCCUCCGCUCUACCAAUUGAGAUAUGGAAGGGUGCUGGGGGAACAAAGGCAGAAAACAUAGUGCCUGAGACAACACACUAUGCCAAAAGGACUAUUUAUCCCAAUAGUCAAUCAUAAGCCCAGCCCUUCCUGCAGAAAAAAGCUCAGUAGUUUGUACCCAACAGGCAUUGCCAGAGAUCCUGAACUGAUAAUCAGGACUUUUAGGCUGGUUGAAAAAAAAAUAACAACUUGUGGUUGAAACAUAAAGGAGGAGUAAAUGUUGUUUGUACAUUUUGAGUGAUGGAGUUGACAGAUGAAGACAAGGUUUGGAGUGGGAGUUGAACCAGCAACCCAAGGAUCACAGCCUAAAGUCCUCCGCUCUACCAACUGAGCUAUCGAAGGGUGCUGGGGGAACAAAGGCAGAAAACAUAGUGGCUGAGAAAACACACUAUGCCAAAAGGACUAUUCAUCCCAAUAGUCAAUCAUAAGCCCAGCCCUUCCUGCAGAAAAAAGCUCAGUAGUUUGUAUCCAACAGGCAUUGCAAGAGAUCCUGAACUGAUAAUCAGGACUUUUAGGCUGGUUGAAAAAAAAAUAACAACUUGUGGUUGGAACAUAAAGGAGGAGAAAAUGUUGUUUGUACAUUUUGAGUGAUGGAGUUGACAGAUGAAGACAAGGUUUGGAGUGGGAGUUGAACCAGCAACCCAAGGAUCACAGCCUAAAGUCCUCCGCUCUACCAACUGAGCUAUCGAAGGGUGCUGGGGGAACAAAGGAAGAAAACAUAGUGGCUGAGACAACACACUAUGCCAAAAGGACUAUUCAUCCCAAUAGUCAAUCAUAAGCCCAGCCCUUCCUGCAGAAAAAAGCUCAGUAGUUUGUACCCAACAGGCAUUGCCAGAGAUCCUGAACUGAUAAUCAGGACUUUUAGGCUGGUUGAAAAAAAAUAACAACUUGUGGUUGGAACAUAAAGGAGGAGAAAAUGUUGUUUGUACAUUUUGAGUGAUGGAGUUGACAGAUGAAGACAAGGUUUGGAGUGGGAGUUGAACCAGCAACCCAAGGAUCACAGCCUAAAGUCCUCCGCUCUACCAACUGAGCUAUCGAAGGGAGGUGGGGGAACAAAGGCAGAAAACAUAGUGGCUGAGACAACACACUAUGCCAAAAGGACUAUUCAUCCCAAUAGUCAAUCAUAAGCCCAGCCCUUCCUGCAGAAAAAAGCUCAGUAGUUUGUACCCAACAGGCAUUGCCCUUCCUGCAGAAAAAAGCUCAGUAGUUUGUAUCCAACAGGCAUUGCAAGAGAUCCUGAACUGAUAAUCAGGACUUUUAGGCUGGUUGAAAAAAAAAUAACAACUUGUGGUUGGAACAUAAAGGAGGAGAAAAUGUUGUUUGUACAUUUUGAGUGAUGGAGUCGACAGAUGAAGACAAGGUUUGGAGUGGGAGUUGAACCAGCAACCCAAGGAUCACAGCCUAAAGUCCUCCGCUCUACCAACUGAGCUAUCGAAGGGUGCUGGGAGAACAAAGGCAGAAAACAUAGUGGCUGAGACAACACACUAUGCCAAAAGGACUAUUCAUCCCAAUAGUCAAUCAUAAGCCCAGCCCUUCCUGCAGAAAAAAGCUCAGUAGUUUGUAUCCAACAGGCAUUGCCAGAGAUCCUGAACUGAUAAUCAGGACUUUUAGGCUGGUUGAAAAAAAAAUAACAACUUGUGGUUGGAACAUAAAGGAGGAGAAAAUGUUGUUUGUACAUUUUGAGUGAUGGAGUUGACAGAUGAAGACAAGGUUUGGAGUGGGAGUUGAACCAGCAACCCAAGGAUCACAGCCUAAAGUCCUCCGCUCUACCAACUGAGCUAUCGAAGGGUGCUGGGGGAACAAAGGCAGAAAACAUAGUGGCUGAGACAACACACUAUGCCAAAAGGACUAUUCAUCCCAA